rnacentral:rRNA from 1 species
CUCCGGUUGAUCCCGCGGGACCCGACUGCUAUCAGAGUGGGACUAAGCCAUGCGAGUCAACAUAGCAAUAUGUGGCAUACGGCUCAGUAACACGUAGUCAACAUGCCCAGGGGACGUGGAUAACCUCGGGAAACUGAGGAUAGACCGCGAUAGGUCAUCACUUCUGGAAUGGGUAAUGACUUAAAUCUAUAUGGCCCCUGGAUUGGACUGCGGCCGAUCAGGCUGUUGGUGAGGUAAUGGCCCACCAAACCUGUAACCGGUACGGGCUCUGAGAGGAGGAGCCCGGAGAUGGGCACUGAGACAAGGGCCCAGGCCCUAUGGGGCGCAGCAGGCGCGAAACCUCUGCAAUAGGCGAAAGCUUGACAGGGUUACUCUGAGUGAUUUCCGUUAAGGAGAUCUUUUGGCACCUCUAAAAAUGGUGCAGAAUAAGGGGUGGGCAAGUCUGGUGUCAGCCGCCGCGGUAAUACCAGCACCCCGAGUGGUCGGGACGUUUAUUGGGCCUAAAGCAUCCGUAGCCGGUUCUACAAGUCUUCCGUUAAAUCCACCUGCUUAACAGAUGGGCUGCGGAAGAUACUAUAGAGCUAGGAGGCGGGAGAGGCAAGCGGUACUCGAUGGGUAGGGGUAAAAUCCGUUGAUCCAUUGAAGACCACCAGUGGCGAAGGCGGCUUGCCAGAACGCGCUCGACGGUGAGGGAUGAAAGCUGGGGGAGCAAACCGGAUUAGAUACCCGGGUAGUCCCAGCUGUAAACGAUGCAGACUCGGUGAUGAGUUGGCUUAUUGCUAACUCAGUGCCGCAGGGAAGCCGUUAAGUUUGCCGCCUGGGGAGUACGGUCGCAAGACUGAAACUUAAAGGAUUGGCGGGGGAGCA